rnacentral:lncRNA from 1 species
UUUUUUUUGUUUGUUUGUUUGUUUUUUGUCUUUUGGGAUACUAUUUUCUCUUUCAGAAUUCUUGGAGAAUCCAGGUGGCAGUAAUUAUUUGUGUUUUUCCCUCAAUACCAACAUCUGAUUGGCUGACCAGCAAUGUGUCUCGAGAAAUUGAAGCCGGGUUGGUUUGAAGACAAUCUUAACUUCUCAAAGGGUUUCCUUUUCAAAGGAAGAGUAUCCCAGGAGACUCCUCUCGGACCCCGGGGCAUCCACCUGAUCCCUUGAAAGGCUAUACUCCAACUUCAGGCUGUCCUAUGUCUCCCAUUCCCAAAUACUCGGAGUUUCAUUCCAGGCCAGGAGCUGAAAUUUACUAGACAUUCUAGCAUACAUAGCCACAGCGGAUAUCUUGAUUUAUCCCCAGACAGUACUGAAACCCAGAACCAGGGAAAAAACUGAAGGGUGGCUGAGGACACAUUACCUUAUAAAGUUUCCAAAGGGAAACCUUGACCCAAAAAUAUUCUGAUAAGGUUUCUGUGCCUACAGGCAAUAAAAGGAAAGGAGGCAUAGAACAGUGUUUACAAUACAGUGUCAGGGGAUUAUUCUUUGCUUUCUUCUCUUGGGAAAUAUUUACAAACAGAAAACAAAUCUUCUUAAAAAUGCCAUCCAAUGCUUUGUCAAAAAAUGAUGAAAAUAUGGUACUAAAAUGUACACUAAAGUGUACAUUAAAGGACAAAUAGUUGAUAAUAUGAAUUAGGGAGGGGAAAUUGGCAUUUGGGAAUGUCAGAAGGAACUGGAAAUUUAGUAUUUUACUGCAAGCCAGAGUUAGGUUGGAGGAAUGGGAAAUGGGCAGGAGUCUUGAGACCCUGCUUGAGAAAGAAGUGAAAAAUGCAGGGAAAAUCAGUCCCCUGUGGAGUGUGAAAAUAAUUAAAUGGCAGGCAAUUAGACUGAGGUGGCUCCAGUCCUAGGGUUGCUUCUUUCAAAAAAAUCUAACUCGAAUGCUUUUUUUCUAAAGUAUUACAUUGGGGGAAAAUAAAAUUCAGGCUUAACCAACUGUAAACUGCCAAUUAACCUCUCAUUACAUGACCAGGAAAUUUCCACCUUGAUCGUACAAAUUAAGAAACUACAUAACUCUACCUAACCAAUUAUUAAAUUUGCUUUCCUUUAUCAUGAACCUUAUAAAAGUGUUUUCUUCAAGCCCCUUCCAUAAACCACAAACUACAAAACAUAGCUUGGUGCUCUGCAAUUCUUGAAUUACUCUUUAAUUAAAUUCUUUAAUAUUUUUGCGGUGACUUCCACAAAUUUUAAUAGAAAAAAAGGGGGACUGGGAACCCUGCGGACCAAAGCUCUUCCCAUUCAUGAACUCCAUACCCCGAGUCAGUGUUCUCCCCUGACCACCGUCCCGUGGUCCCUGCACAAUAAUCAGGGAGGGAUGCGACAGUGGGGGCAGAGCUGCCCAGAGAGGACUCCAGGCCAGGGCACAGUCACUCCGCAGGGAGGAGACAGGACUCCCGGGGUCCCUGCUGCCAGCCCGGCCGCCAUCCUAUGGCUGAAGGGGACUGACGGCCGAGCUGCGCCAAGAAGAACUCUGGGCCGAGGAUUUUGGAGCCAACUGCGGGUAGGCCAGAGUCCCGCCACAGCCACUUCCCACCAGUUCCAACCAGCCCCGCCCCUCUCUCGGGAUGUCGGACCCGGCACUCUCACCAUUUUUAGGCUUCCAGGGGGUCCUGGGGUCUUAGCUGUGCAUCUCUCAAUACCUGCAGGUAACGGGGCCACAGAGACUGGGCCUCUGGGAGCAGAAGACACACAGCAGUGAAGACUAGACCAGGAGCUUCGGCUGCAGCGAGAGACAAAGGCCCCGCC